GCCAGACUCCUACGGGAGGCAGCAGUGGGGAAUAUUGGGCAAUGGGCGCAAGCCUGACCCAGCAACGCCGCGUGAAGGAAGAAGGCUUUCGGGUUGUAAACUUCUUUUGACAGGGAAGAGUAGAAGACGGUACCUGUCGAAUAAGCCACGGCUAACUACGUGCCAGCAGCCGCGGUAAUACGUAGGUGGCAAGCGUUGUCCGGAUUUACUGGGUGUAAAGGGCGUGUAGCCGGGUUGACAAGUCAGAUGUGAAAUCCUGCGGCUUAACCGCAGAACUGCAUUUGAAACUGUUGAUCUUGAGUACUGGAGAGGCAGACGGAAUUCCUAGUGUAGCGGUGAAAUGCGUAGAUAUACGGAGGAACACCAGUGGCGAAGGCGGAUUGCUGGACAGUAACUGACGCUGAGGCGCGAAAGCGUGGGGAGCAAACAGGAUUAGAUACCCCGGUAUA
rnacentral:rRNA from 1 species